rnacentral:rRNA from 1 species
UACGUAGGGUGCAAGCGUUUGUCCGGAAUUAUUGGGCGUAAAGAGCUCGUAGGCGGUUUGUCGCGUCGAAUGUGAAAACCCGGGGCUCAACCCCGGGCCUGCAUUCGAUACGGGCAGACUGGAGUACUGCAGGGGAGACUGGAAUUCCUGGUGUAGCGGUGGAAUGCGCAGAUAUCAGGAGGAACACCGGUGGCGAAGGCGGGUCUCUGGGCCGAUACUGACGCUGAGGAGCGAAAGCGUGGGGAGCGAACAGG